CCUCUACAAGUGUAACAUCAGCGGUCGUGGAGAGUCUCCAUCCAGCUGGAUCUCUGUCACAGGGAAACCCACCACUACACGUCCUCCUACGUCCACCUGUCUUUCUUCAUCACCAGCUCCUCCUCCUCCCUCUGUGAUGCUGUGGUCUGUUCCUCUGUCCUUUGUUCUGGUUUUACUGGUUCUGCUGCUUCUACUUUUCAGAUGGCGUGUUCAGAGGAAACAUCCAGUUGCUGAAGAAGAAGCUGCAGGAAAUGACAUCACAGAGGACAUCACAUUAAGUAACAUCAGAAUAUCACAUCGCCAACGGCAGCGAAUCAGACGAUGCAGAGAGUGUUAUUCAGCUGCAGUCUACUCAGCAGUGAGAGGAACAAAAGAGUUAUUGACAAACAGCCAUCAGACCAACAGGACGAGAGGUACAGCUGCUCUUUAUUUAUUAACUUUGGACGCUGUAUGUGCAGUUAACUCUUACUAGUAUCU